ACCUGAGUGGCUCAGUCGGCUGAGCGUCUGACUGCGGCUCAGAUUCGUGGGUUCAAGCCCCACAUCGGGCU